rnacentral:rRNA from 1 species
GACGAGGGACCUAGCGUUGUUCGGAAUUAUUGGGCGUAAAGCGGGUGUAGGUGGUCUUAUAAGUCAGGUGUGAAAUCCCAGGGCUCAACCCUGGAAGUGCACUUGAUACUGUAAGACUUGAGUGUGGUAGAGGCUAUUAGAAUUCUUGGUGUAGUGGUGAAAUACGUAGAUAUCAAAGAGGAAUACCGGAGGCGAAGGCGGAUAGCUGGGCCAACACUGACACUGAGACCCGAAAGCGUGGGGAUCAAACAGG